rnacentral:tRNA from 2 species
GGGCUCGUAGUGUAACGGUAGCAUCAAGGCUCGCAAGGUCUUGGGUGCGGGUCCGAUUCCCGUCGAGUCCA